CACAAAGCGUCCCUUUGUGCUAUAUCCAUGGUCUCAUACUUAGUGAGUUUGAUUAUUCUUCUCAUAGUCAUCCGUCUGAACCAGCUGAGGUAAACGAUCAUGAUGGUGAAAGAGGUGGUCUUGCUGUGGACGCUGGCUCGAUUGGCAGCUUCAUCACAAUUCCUGGAUAUCAGCAAUAAAACACUGGCAAACAUUCCUGCCACCUACGAUGUAAACAUAACCAGUUUAAUCCUGCACCACAACCGCAUCGU